AUUGAACGCUGGCGGCAGGCUUAACACAUGCAAGUCGAGCGGGGUGAUGGCGCUUGCACUAUCACUUAGCGGCGGACGGGUGAGUAAUGCUUAGGAAUCCGCCUAUUAGUGGGGGACAACAUCUCGACAGGGAUGCUAAUACCGCAUACGUCCUACGGGAGAAAGCAGGGGAUCACUUGUGACCUUGCGCUAAUAGAUGAGCCUAAGUCGGAUUAGCUAGUUGGUGGGGUAAAGGCCGACCACGGCGACGAUCUGUAGCGGGUCUGAGAGGAUGAGCCGCCACACUGGGACUGAGACACGGCCCAGACUCCUACGGGAGGCAGCAGUGGGGAAUAUUGGACAAUGGGGGAAACCCUGAUCCAGCCAUGCCGCGUGUGUGAAGAAGGCCUUAUGGUUGUAAAGCACUUUAAGCGAGGAGGAGGCUCUUUUGGUUAAUACCCAAGAUGAGUGGACGUUACUCGCAGAAUAAGCACCGGCUAACUCUGUGCCAGCCGCCGCAGUAA
rnacentral:rRNA from 1 species